GAUGAACGCUGGCGGCGUGCCUAAUACAUGCCAGUCGAGCGAACAGACGAGGAGCUUGCUCCUCUGACGUUAGCGGCGGACGGGUGAGUAACACGUGGAUAACCUACCUAUAAGACUGGGAUAACUUCGGGAAACCGGAGCUAAUACCGGAUAGUAUAUUGAACCGCAUGGUUCAAUAGUGAAAGACGGUUUUGCUGUCACUUAUAGAUGGAUCCGCGCCGCAUUAGCUAGUUGGUAAGGUAACGGCUUACCAAGGCGACGAUGCGUAGCCGACCUGAGAGGGUGAUCGGCCACACUGGAACUGAGACACGGUCCAGACUCCUACGGGAGGCAGCAGUAGGGAAUCUUCCGCAAUGGGCGAAAGCCUGACGGAGCAACGCCGCGUGAGUGAUGAAGGUCUUCGGAUCGUAAAACUCUGUUAUUAGGGAAGAACAAAUGUGUAAGUAACUAUGCACGUCUUGACGGUACCUAAUCAGAAAGCCACGGCUAACUACGUG
rnacentral:rRNA from 1 species